UACGUGACCACGCCCACUUCACAGGCCAGCAAACUGAGGCUCAGCGAGGGUAGGCGGCAGGCCCAGUGUUGCAGAACUCAGGCCGUCUUCUCCACCACCCGGGCAGGCCUUGUGCUGGACACUGAUGAUAUGGAAAUGAACUGGCCAUGGCUUCUGCCCUCAAGGAGCUCUUAGUCUCAAGGAGAGACGGACAGGGAAGCGAAGGCACACAGUAUAGUACGACAAUGGGAAGUCUGGUACAGGAUGCAUUGGAAUUUGGAGGAAGGAGCCUGCUUGGUGACAUCACAGAAGUCUUCCCAGAGGAAGUGGCAUUCAAUUGGCGAAUGAGCAAAUUAACUGUGAUGUAUCCAUAUAAUGAACUAUUAUUCAGCAAUAAAAGGAAAUCAUCUAUCUCACCAUGAAAAGACACGGAGCGGCAUAUUGCUAAGUGAAAGAAGCCAGUCUGAAAAAACCAUGUACUGUAGGAUUCCAAUUGUAGGGCGUUCUGGAAAAAAGGAAACUUCUACAUAAGAAUGGGGCUCUAAGGACCACGGCAGCGCUGGAGCGAGGGGACGUGUCGUUUGGGUCCCCCCCCCCGGAAGCAGACGCUGAGGUGAAGUCAGGAAUGCAAGAGAGAGAGGGCGAGGAAGCGGGCUUGGGCAGGAGAGCCUCUGGGCAGACGCCGACCUGGCCCCUGCCGUGCUCGGGCGUUUGAGGCGGGAACCCCAAAGCUGAUGUGUAUCCGAAGGGGCCCGUCUGUCACUCACUCCUCCCAGCUGACCUUCCAGCUCUUUCUCCCUCCCAGACUUCCGUGCAGACUCAGCGAGACAUCAUUCGCACAAACUCUGCCAGGACAAAGCCAAGGUUGCGGGUCUGCAGUCUGGACCCCAGUAGGGGUGGGACCAAUAUAUUGGCCUUGAGGUGGGAGGAGGUGUGGUCCAGGGCAGAGCCCACAAGGGAGUCUUCUGGAUCUGGGGAACGGGCCCCCAGGCGAAGAAGAGGGGCUUUGCUUUAUGGACAAAACAAAACGAAACGAAACAGAGAAACCGCAGCAACGACAAGACCCCCCAAACCUCGUAACUGAACCUGUUUUCCUCUUUGCUUUGGCUGCUAGGAAGCUCAGG